GGGCUACGAUGUGGGCUAUUGCGGCUAGGACUGCUAUUGCUAGGAAGAGCUACUGCAGCCUGUUGUGGAAGAAGGGGUGGCGAAGGGCUAAAGUUGUGGAGAGGAUGCGGCAACCACUCUGAUACCAUGUUGAAAGUAAAAGCUCAAAGAAAUUCAAUUCAUUAAUGAAAUCUCAUCUCUUUAAAUAAACGAGAAAUAAGUACAUAAAGAAAGAAGUACAUACUUGGAAAGCAAGUACAUACCAUGUUUAGAGAUAUACUAAGUUUAGAGACAUACUAAAUGCAUCCUUCCUAUAUAAAGACUUAUCAAAUAAGCAUAAUUCUAACAUAUUUAAUAUUAUAUUAUAUUAUAUUAUAUUAUUCUCCACUAUAUAAUAUUAUACAAUGUCUUUUAUUAUUAUUUUAUCAUACCAAAAGUACUUUUUUAUUGUAGUUAUCAAAAAUAUAUUAAAGCUUUAAAGUAUUUUAUAAAUAUGGUUACAAAGCAACAAACAGCUUUCUUGUAAAAGCUCUACUUUCAAAAGCUCCAAAAGCUCUAUCGCCAACAAUAAUCCCAAAUAGAGCUUUAUUUAGAUGCCACAAACAUAACAAGAACAAAAAUAAGGCCAGUUUGUAUCAACCUAUGCUCUAUCGACUACCACCUUUUAAAGAAGCUUCCUUGAGUUACAGUUGUACUCCAUAGCCAAACUCAUCAUGAUGAAACAUGUCUAGGCUGUUGAUUUUGUUGUUGGCUUGCUGGUAUUGUUGUUACAUAAUUAAUGAUACGAGGUGGGAAACAUGAAUUAGAUUCUUCUGUCACCAUAGAAAAUUCUUUUUAUGUAAUGACAAUGCAAAUGGUAGGAUAUCAGUUAACUCUUUAUAUACCAAAGCAAAAUUAGGGACCAUCUAUUACAUUAAAGAAAAUGUUCUAGAACCGCUAGACAUUUGCAUCAGACCAAGGCAUACACUUAUAUAUCCACUCUGACACAACACGGGU
rnacentral:lncRNA from 1 species